AUUGAACGCUGGCGGCAGGCCUAACACAUGCAAGUCGAGCGGAUGAAGGGAGCUUGCUCCUGGAUUCAGCGGCGGACGGGUGAGUAAUGCCUAGGAAUCUGCCUGGUAGUGGGGGAUAACGUCCGGAAACGGGCGCUAAUACCGCAUACGUCCUGAGGGAGAAAGUGGGGGAUCUUCGGACCUCACGCUAUCAGAUGAGCCUAGGUCGGAUUAGCUAGUUGGUGGGGUAAAGGCCUACCAAGGCGACGAUCCGUAACUGGUCUGAGAGGAUGAUCAGUCACACUGAAACUGAGACACGGUCCAGACUCCUACGGGAGGCAGCAGUGGGGAAUAUUGGACAGUGGGCGAAAGCCUGAUCCAGCCAUGCCGCGUGUGUGAAGAAGGUCUGCGGAUUGUAAAGCACUUUAAGUUGGGAGAAAGGGCAGUAAGUUAAAACCUUGCUGUUUUGACGUUACCAACAGAAUAAGCACCGGCUAACUUCGU
rnacentral:rRNA from 1 species